rnacentral:rRNA from 1 species
AUUGAACGCUGGCGGCAUGCUUUACACAUGCAAGUCGAACGGUAACAGGCCGCAAGGUGCUGACGAGUGGCGAACGGGUGAGUAAUGCAUCGGAACGUGCCCAGUCGUGGGGGAUAACUGCUCGAAAGAGCAGCUAAUACAGCAUACGAUCUAUGGAUGAAAGCCGGGGACCGUAAGGCCUCGCGCGAUUGGAGCGGCCGAUGUCAGAUUAGGUAGUUGGUGGGGUAAAGGCUCACCAAGCCAACGAUCUGUAGCUGGUCUGAGAGGACGACCAGCCACACUGGGACUGAGACACGGCCCAGACUCCUACGGGAGGCAGCAGUGGGGAAUUUUGGACAAUGGGGGCAACCCUGAUCCAGCAAUGCCGCGUGCAGGAAGAAGGCCUUCGGGUUGUAAACUGCUUUUGUACGGAACGAAACGGUCUGGGUUAAUACCCUGGGCUAAUGACGGUACCGUAAGAAUAAGCACCGGCUAACUACGUGCCAGCCGCCGCCGUAAUAC